UUACUGUUCUGAUCUUAACAUUUAUAGUCACAAACUGAACUUGACGUGAAAGUAUUUCGUGAUUUGACUCUUUUAGAAACGCCAGAGCCCGUGGCGUUUCCACCCAACAUAGAAACGCCGAACAAGCUAGUGUUCCUUGCCAACACGAAAACACCAAGACAACUAGCGUUUCUGCCCUGGCCCACAGUCAGUCCGAACCCGCUGUUUUCGCUGAUCUUGCAUUUCUGAACUGGAUUAAGUAACGCGCACGGGCCGCGCGGGCCUAACCCAGCCCACUUGCAGUCCCAGUCCCGGUCGGGCAGUUUCUUCAGGGACGAACUGGCGGCCGCCCCCUCCCUCUUCUUCACCAAAUCUCCCCGCCCCCUCCCUCUUCUUCACCAAAUCUCCCCCAGAUCUGCUAUUUUGAUCAUCAAAACGAGUAGAUCGGAGCAUCCCCGAGUUGCUUGAGAUAUUCUCUUCCCAAUCCUCCAUUUAUUUUCAGUCAAGAUUGGCUAUUGUAGAUGCAUUUUUUCAAACAUGGUGGAACCCUAAGAUGAGUUAUUAGUGAUGUGUUUGAUGAAUAUUUUGGUUACAUUAUGUUUAGAAAGAAGACGUAUACUCCUUGUGUUGAAGUAUUCUUAGUUAACUUGUUUAGUAUUGGAUUUAGAGAGAGACCAUUUUUUGGAUUAGGUUGAACCUAUUAUUUGUUAAUAAUUAGUUGUGAUAGAUUCUUUAUGAUAAAAUAGGUUGAAAAGAAUUGGUGUUGGUAAUGUCGUUCGUGAUUUGUAUAUUUGGGAUAAUUUGUAGUAGUUCUCACACGAUUUUGUAUAUGAUGUGGUCAUAAUUUUAAGCAUAUAUCAUAACAAAUCCAUUGACCUUAUUUUGUAAGAUGUUUGAGCCGGAUAAAUAUCCCGGCCUUGAUGAUUAUUACGAGGAGAAGCAUUGUGUUGUGCUAGUGGAAAGAGGGGAGGUUCCUCCAGUACUUCGUUUGAGAGGCCAUAACCCACGCGAGUCCCUGAAGUAUGACCGUCGCUACGAGCUUUAUUUUAGAAGAAUGGAUCUUCUCCGGUUUGUGCUCAACUUUAAAGGAACACCACCAUGCAUGGCUGAACUCGACAGCCAUUACCGCCCUUAUGGACCGUUGGAGGCCGGAGACGCACUCUUUUCACCUUGCUCUUGUUGAGAUGACCGUCGCUUUGGAGGAUAUUGCGAUGAUCUCCGGUCUUCCGAUCGAGGGCAUGGCUCUUACCGGGAAGGUGAGGUCUGAGGGGUGGCGACAAAGGGUUGCAGGUUUGGUUGGUGUUGAACCUCCCCCGUGGAUUCAUGAAACAAAGAAGGAUCCUAGGCCAUCUGGUGUUUUGUUCUCUUGGCUACAAGAACAUUUUUAUGAGUGCCCAGAGAAUGCCAGUCCGGCUGUUGUGCAGAGUUGGACGGAGCAUGUAUGAGGAGUAAGCCGAAAUCUUGUCUUGGUGGUUUUGUUUGGGCCCUACAGAUUUGGAUGUGGGAGCGUAUCCCUGUGGGCCAUAACUUCACCGUUGCUCCGGAAGAACCUUGGGAGUGGCCUUUUGACGGGGAUGAGGAGCGAUAGAUAUCCCACUAUGGCAUACACAUGGGCUAAUGUCCAAGUGUCGAGUAUCACCGUCAUGGGGCGGUACAAGGCAUACAUAAGCGAGCUUGACAUGCUUACUUACAACCAGGUUAAUUGAAGGCCGUACAUGGUACUUAGACAAUUCUCUUUGAGCAAUAUGUGUCUUCGUGACCAACAUCUUUGGUGUAUGUGUUGCCCCAUGAUAUGCUUUUUUUUGCGGUGGAGUGGCAUCUUCCACAUCAUGUUUCGAAGCAAUUUGGAGUACAACAACGCACCCUGCCGGAGUAUGUUGAGACAAGUGUGGUGCUACAUAGGACGAGCCGACAACACAACAAGAAUGUCAUUAAUUGGGAGGAUCACCAUCUUAUGUGGGUGGACAUGUGGAAUGCUCAGAGGAAUGCUUGAGUUGAAGAUGAUCACACACCUGACAACGACGAGGGGGCAUAUUUAAGGCAUUUGGAGUGGCUUCGCAAAUAGUACAGAGUUAUCCUUAAGGGUGCUUGGAUUCGUGCCGAUUGCUUGUAAGUAAUGCCAAGUGAGGCUGCUGAUGGUGCAUUCAACAACUCUAUUAGGGAGACCAUUGGAGCACACUUAGAUUAUGGCCCUCUGCAUGACCGAGUGGGCACGGAGCUAUGGAGAUGUAUCAAUGAUAGUAAUGUGGUGCUUGGCCGCGCACCUGGUAGAGAAACGAACGUUCUCGUUAGGAGUACUCUACAGAAGGUUGUGAAUCGUUGCCGAACACUAGCCUCUUUACUUUUUUGCCAUGGCGGUUCAUCCACGGAUGUGCGUGCAUGUGCUCAAUAUAGAAUGGAUGUGCUGUCUUCCGCUCGUCCAUCUUCGAGCCAAGCAUGUGCUUCUUUCGCUCGUCCAUCUUCCAGCCGAGCAGGUGCUUCUUCGAGCCAAGCACGGAUUGAUGAACAGGAAGAUGAAGAGGAGGAGACAGACUACGAUGCGGAUCCGGACUAUGUGGAGCUUGGGGCUUCGCAGAUGGAAGAUGCUCCACCACCAACUCAACGUUCUCAGCCUUCCGAAGAAGCACGCCGAGUUAGCUCAAGAACCAUCCGACGUCCUGGAUGGCAGAACACUCCAGAAGGCUACGUCAACAAGGGGAAGAUGGCUUCAAAAAGAGGCAAGAAGUGAAGUUCUAUAUGUGGUGAACUAGAAAUGUAGUUAGCGUUUCAGAUGGAGCAAACUUGCUAGUUCUAUAUCUGAUGAACUUGUUAUGCUUUAUGUCUGAUGGACUUGUUAGUUCUAUGUCAGCAAGACUUGGUAAUUAUUAUGUA